CCUACGGGGGGCAGCAGUGGGGAAUAUUGGACAAUGGGGGGAACCCUGAUCCAGCCAUGCCGCGUGUGUGAAGAAGACCCUCGGGUUGUAAAGCACUUUCAGUGAGGAAGAACGCCUGGUGGUUAAUACCCAUCAGGAAAGACAUCACUCACAGAAGAAGCACCGGCUAACUCCGUGCCAGCAGCCGCGGUAAUACGGAGGGUGCGAGCGUUAAUCGGAAUUACUGGGCGUAAAGCGCGCGUAGGUGGCUUGAUAAGCCGGUUGUGAAAGCCCCGGGCUCAACCUGGGAACGGCAUCCGGAACUGGCAAGCUAGAGUGCAGGAGAGGAAGGUAGAAUUCCAGGUGUAGCGGUGAAAUGCGUAGAGAUCGGGAGGAAUACCAGUGGCGAAGGCGGCCUUCUGGACUGACACUGACACUGAGGUGCGAAGGCGUGGGUAGCAAACAGGAUUAGAUACCCCGGUAGUC
rnacentral:rRNA from 1 species